rnacentral:rRNA from 1 species
AGUGGCAGACGAGGUAGUAACACGUAGGUACGUACCCGGAAGUCGGGCAUAGCUCGCCGAAAGGCGGGGUAAUUCCCGAUAGUCUCGCAAGAGUAAAGGUUUUUCGCUUCCGGAGCGGCCUGCGCAAUAUCAGCUUGUUGGUGAGGUAACGGCUCACCAAGGCUUCGACGUUUAGGGGAACUGAGAGGUUGACCCCCACCGAUGGGACUGAGACACGGCCCAUACUCCUACGGGAGGCUGCAGUCAAGAAACUUCCACAAUGGGCGAAAGCCUGAUGGAGCGACGUCGCGUGAUGGACGAAGUACUUCGGUACGUAAACAUCUUUUAUGUGGGACGAAAUUAUUGACGGUACCACAUGAAUAAGGGGCUCCUAACUCUGUGCCAGCAGGAGCGGUAAUACAGAGGCCCCAAGCGUUAUCCGGAAUCACUGGGCGCAAAGGGUGUCGAGGCGGCUAUGUUAGUCGUUCGUAAAAUCUACGAGCUCAACUUGUAGGCGGCGAACGAAACGGCAUAGCUUGAGGUCGGAAGAGGUGCGUGGAACUCAUGGUGUAGGGGUGAAAUCCGUUGAUAUCAUGGGGAACACCAAAGGCGAAGGCAGCGCACUGGUCCGAAUCUGACGCUCACACACGAAAGCCAGGGUAGCGAACGGGAUUAGAU